UUGAAAACCUUAGAACAGGGGUGGCCAACCUGUGGCUCCAGAGCCACAUGAGGCUCUUCGGAAGUUAAUAUUCAGCUCCUUGUAUAGACACCAACUUUGAGGCUGGAGCUACAGGCACCAACUUUCCAAUGUGCU